rnacentral:rRNA from 1 species
AGUGAACGCUGGCGGUAGGCCUAACACAUGCAAGUCGAACGGCAGCACAGUAAGAGCUUGCUCUUACGGGUGGCGAGUGGCGGACGGGUGAGGAAUACAUCGGAAUCUACUUUUUCGUGGGGGAUAACGUAGGGAAACUUACGCUAAUACCGCAUACGACCUACGGGUGAAAGCAGGGGAUCUUCGUACCUUGCGCGAUUGAAUGAGCCGAUGUCGGAUUAGCUAGUUGGCGGGGUAAAGGCCCACCAAGGCGACGAUCCGUAGCUGGGCUGAGAGGAUGAUCAGCCACACUGGAACUGAGACACGGUCCAGACUCCUACGGGAGGCAGCAGUGGGGAAUAUUGGACAAAGGGCGCAAGCCUGAUCCAGCCAUACCGCGUGGGUGAAGAAGGCCUUCGGGUUGUAAAGCCCUUUUGCUGGGAAAGAAAAGCAGCAGGUUAAUACCCCGCUGUUCUGACGGUACCCAAAGAAUAAGCACCGGCUAACUUCGUG